AUUUGUGACCAGGUGGGAGGAGGGGGGAUGUGCACAUUGCUUGUGUUUCUGCUUUUCUUGCCAUGCACUUGGAAUUCUUGUCUGAGAGGAGAUGGUCUAUGUAAUGCUUGCUUCUGGAGCCUGAACGCGGGUGGAAAGUUCAGUGUAGGACCUAAGAUGGGCAGCAGCUGGAAUUGUGGACUAUGCUGUCUAUCCUUUGCAGUGAAACUUAAAUUUCUGAUGCUUGAAUUUUUUAAGCUGUGGCUUACUGAUGCUGAGAGCACACACCUGUCUGGGGCAGUGCUUUUCAGGCGUCAGCAGAGGAGCAGCCACUGCUCGCAGUCACUGUAGGAUAUGUAGAAAUAAUCAACUUUUUGUUUUGUUUUGUUUUUAGUUAGGAUCUUUGGAUAUCUAAACUCCGAAGGGGCGAUAUUUUUGAAAUUCCUGCUAAAAUGGUCUCUAAAUGUCCAGUCUGGUGAAGAAAGAAUGAGGGAGAAACAAUGCUUAAAUGCUCUAGUGCUGUUGUAAAAAGUGUACUAACUUCUUUCCUCCAUUUCCCCCCCCCUCCCAUUUCUCUUCUAUCCUUUUAUUAGCUGUAUUUUUGUAUUUUUAAUGAAAGCUGUUGUAUGUCCAGCAACCAGACUUAAAACUGUGCAACUUACAGCUCUACUAGUAACGGCCCCUCCAGAUUUCCCUUGAACGGAGGAGCCCCGCCUCUGGCACGCACGGGCGACCGUACGCGCCCCGCCGUCGUCCUGGCGCGAGCGGCCUCGGGGGUUGGGGGAUGUACGCAUGCGCAGGUGGGCCGCCGUUGACGCCAUUUUGGGAGAGUGUGGUGGUCGUGGCUUGGUCUUUGUCACGGAGCCUCCGCCCACGGUGCCUGAUCCAGGCGACGCGGCGAUGUCGAAAGGAGGCAGUGAGACGAACACGUAUGGGCGGCCCGUCGUCUCGGCCGCCUCAGGGUCCUAUACGGACCGCUGCUCUUCCACGUCAGGGCUGGGUGGACGAGUGGAAGAGCUGCCCCGCUAUACCCUAGGCCUGCUGCAGACGCCGCGCAGUGCGGCGGACAGCACCGGCGACUUGUCCAGCGGCGGGGCGAGGCCGGGUAGCUCCAGCGGGGUGGGCCUUGCUGCCAGUAGUAGCAGGGUGAAGCUGCCGGUUCCCGGGAGAGGAGAAUCUUAUCUUGGUGACAAAAGUUCUUGUGCAGAAAAUGGUAGCAUGUUGAAUUUCACAAGUUCUUCUGUGCAAGGCCUGAAUAGCACAUGUAUAGGAAAAUUACCCCUUUCUACUAGUAGAUCUAUUUGCAGAAGCCGUACCCCUCAUAUGGGAUAUUCAGUUACAUCCUCAUCUGCAGUCUCUGUUCAUACCGCUGCAUCAGUUAUUGUAGCUGUUGUAGAAGGAAGAGGCCUUGCCAGAGGUGAAGUAGGAAUGGCCAGUAUUGACUUAAAAAAUCCUGAGGUGAUAUUAUCACAAUUUGCAGACAAUACAACUUAUGCCAAGGUUAUUACUAAACUCAAAAUUUUAACACCACUGGAAAUAAUAAUGCCAAACACUGCUUGUGAUGCAGGGAACACAAAAUUGUUUGGUCUGAUAACAGAACAUUUCAAGAAUGUGACUUUCACAACUGUCCAAAGAAAAUACUUCAAUGAAACAAAGGGAUUGGAAUAUAUAGAACAAUUGUGUGCAUCUGAAUUCAGCACCAUUUUCAUGGAGGUUCAGUCAAAGUACUACUGUCUUGCAGCUGCUGCAGCUUUGCUAAAAUAUGUUGAGUUUAUUCAAAAUUCUGUUUAUGCUCCUAAAUCACUCAAGGUGCGUUUCCAGGGGAGUGAGAAAACAGCUAUGAUAGAUUCAUCAUCAGCUCAAAAUCUUGAACUAGUAACUAAUAACAGAGAUUCUUGGAACGGUCACACACUUUUUGGUGUCCUAAAUUAUACUAAAACUCCAGGAGGAAGUCGAAGACUCAGAUCCAAUAUCCUGGAGCCCCUAGUUGAUGCUGAAACAAUUAACACAAGACUGGAUUGUGUUCAGGAAUUACUCCAGGAUGAGGAGCUGUUUUUUGGUCUUCAAGCAGUUAUCUCAAAAUUCCUGGAUACAGAACAACUGCUUUCAGUUUUGGUACAAAUUCCAAAGCAGGAUACAGUUAAAACUGCUGAAUCAAAAAUAACUAACUUAAUUUACCUGAAGCAUACUCUAGAACUUGUGGAGCCCCUAAAAACUGCUUUAAGAAGCUGUAACACACCACUGCUAAAGGCCUAUUACAGUUCUCUUGAAGAUAGAAGGUUUGGAAUUAUACUUGAGAAGAUUACAACUGUAAUUAAUGAUGAUACAAGGUACACAAAAGGAUGUCUGAGUAUGAGGACACAAAAAUGCUAUGCUGUUAAGCCAAACAUCAAUGAAUUCCUUGACAUAGCUCGUAGAACAUACACAGAAAUUGUUGAUGACAUAGCAGGUAUGAUAACACAACUUGCAGAAAAGUACAACCUACCAAUGAAAACAAGUUUCAGUUCUGCUCGUGGAUUUUUUAUCCAGAUGAAUGCUGAUUGUUCAACACUGCCCAGUGGCCAACUUCCUUCAGAAUUUACAAAGAUCACUAAAAUGAAAAACACAUAUAGCUUCACUUCAGCAGACUUAAUAAAAAUGAAUGAGAGAUGUCAGGAGUCCCUGAGAGAAAUAUAUCACAUGACAUACUUAAUCGUGUGUAAGCUACUGAACGAGAUCUAUGAACAUAUUCAUUGCCUAUACAAGCUGUCUGAUACUGUGUCAAUGCUGGACAUGCUGCUUUCAUUCGCCCAUGUCUGCACUGUUUCCGACUAUGUUCGUCCAGAAUUUACAGAUACUUUAGCGAUCAAGCAGGGAUGGCAUCCCAUUCUUGAAAAGAUAGCUAUGGAGAAACCUGUAUCUAACAACACAUACCUGACAGAGGGUAGCAACUUUCUCAUUAUUACAGGACCAAAUAUGAGUGGAAAAUCAACAUAUCUAAAACAGAUUGCACUCUGUCAAAUUAUGGCCCAGAUUGGUUCUUACGUCCCAGCAGAGUAUUGUUCUUUUCGAAUCGCAGAGCAAAUUUUUACCAGAAUAGGUAUGGAUGAUGAUAUAGAAACAAAUGCCUCAACAUUCAUGAAGGAAAUGAAAGAGAUAACAUACAUCAUACAAAAUGCUAAUGACAAAUCACUCAUCAUAAUUGAUGAACUUGGCAGAGGUACCAGUGCUGAAGAAGGUAUUGGCAUUUGUUAUGCUGCCUGUGAAUACCUGUUGAAUUUGAAGGCAUUUACAUUGUUUGCUACACAUUUCCUGGAACUGUGUCAUAUAGAUGCUUUAUAUCCCAAUGUGGAAAAUUACCAUUUUGAAGUGCAACAUGUGAGAAGCAGUGCUAUAAAGAAGGAAAAAAUCGCGUACACUUACACGCUCUCUAAAGGAUAUACAGAGGAAAAGAACUAUGGUAAUGGAUUCCACUAUGACUCUUAAUAGAAGACUGGACAAAUUGAAGGAUUGUGAGUCAGUAAAGAAAUGAAUGAGUGACAAUAAGGAUUAAAAGCUGCAGAAGUUUCCUCUCUACCACCAUCCAUAAUUUUGGAUGCAAAGGAAAUCACAAAUCAUAUUGCAAAACAAAUUUUGUGAGAGUCUUGACAAAAGUAAGUAGUUUGUGUUCACUCCUUUUAACAAAAGGAGCCAGAGUACAAGGGCUAUUUGCUUCAGACUCUGACUGAAGAGGGUGUACAUUCCCAUUUGCGUAAGCCACCACAUCACCAGAAAGAACAGUCCUGGGGGUUGUUUCUCAGCUGCCUUGGGUAGGUUGAUAAUGUCAGAACUAUUCCCCUCUUCUGUGCUGGUCAUUUCAGAGCCAUUGGGUUGCUUCCAUUUGGUCUGUGAGGACUGUUUAUGUACUGCUUAUGCCAUUCUCUUAAAAUAAAUUUUAAAUGAGUCCCUUUUUCCUUUCUUCCCCUACUGAUGUCUGGAUACCAAGAAACAGGACCAGAACACAAAAAGAUAGUACACUUUUAUGCUCAUUUAGAGUUACGGAACGGUUUGGGAUGGAAGGGACCUCUAAAGAUCAUUUAGUUCCAACCCCCUCAUUGUAAAGAAUUUCUUCCUAACAUCUAAAUCUACCCUCUUUGAGUUUAAAACCAUUACCCCUUGUCCAAUCACUACAGACCUUGGUAAAGAGUCUUUCCCCAUCUUGUAGUCCCCCCUUUAAGUAUUGGAAGGCUGCAAUACAGUCUCACUGGCAUCUCCUCUCCUCUGGGCUAAACAACUCCAGCUCCCUCUGCCUGUC